rnacentral:lncRNA from 1 species
CCUGAACAUUUACAAAUAGGGAAAAUAAUGUGAGGCUACCAAAGUGAAUAAAAAAUAACUAAAAACAGAUUUAAUGUUACAUACACAAUGACAAAAAUAUCCUGGGAGCUCUGGCUCUUCCCUCAUCCCCUCUCGCUGACCACUUAGGGAACCAGUUGCGACUGUCUUGAGGGAAUCGUGCUCUCCCUCUUGAUGUCUCACAAAUUCACAUUCAUUCAGUUUCGUUCCUUGUAAGAGUAAAUGAAAAAUCAUGUGGGAAAGAUAACUCUGAUCCCUGUUCUAUUUCUGUGACCAGUUGACUGUGUCAUCUUUUUCCACUUGAUAUUGAGAAUAUCCAUAGCUGUCUUUGUCCAACACUCGGCCGUUAUAUGUGGAGUGUGUGCAGAUACAUGGAGUGAAUAACAUGGACGUAAAGUCUGGCUUCUCUAAUGGGCAGUACCAUAAUCAAGUCACUGAAAGUAAAAUAAA